GGUUCUGUAGGUGAACCUGCGGAUGGAUCAUUACAAAAGAAAAGGAGCGAGGAGCCUGCCCCUCCCGUCUCCAUGAGUUCGCCUCAGUC
rnacentral:rRNA from 1 species